CAAGAAGAGACCCUAACCGGUCCUCUCAACCCUGCCCAUCGUAACCUUUUUUUGUUGUUCCCUUCGGCGGUGCUCGACGGGCCCGCCGGCGGAAGACCAAACAAACCCUUUGCCAAACAAGCAUAUCGAAAUCUCUGAUCAAACAUGAAAGUUGUCA
rnacentral:misc_RNA from 1 species